rnacentral:misc_RNA from 1 species
CUUUCUAUGCAUUUUCAUGAAUUUGACUACAACCCCUUAAGUGCCUAUAUAUAUAGGAAUCGAUAACCAAGGGGGCAUAUGCUUCUGAGGCAAACUUAUAAGAGAAACAAAAGAGUGUAAGGAGAUCACAAUUUCAAUUUUUAGCGAUGGGUUGGUUUGGCAAGCGAAGAUCUGAAAAGAAACAAAACCCUUAUCAAACACCUGCCGGAGGAGCUAAUCCUAAUCCUACUCAUAAAGCUUAUGGUGGUGGAGAUAAAAAAGGCAAAAUUGGCAGCAAAGGUAACCACGGCAGUGUAGCAGCUGUAGCAAGUAUUACUGCUGCAGCCGCUGCCAGUGCUGCUGCUUCUAGCAGUGCUAGCGCUUGCAGCGGAGGUGGCUGCGCCGGAGGAGGG